rnacentral:rRNA from 1 species
AACGAACGCUGGCGGCAUGCCUAACACAUGCAAGUCGAACGAGACCUUCGGGUCUAGUGGCGCACGGGUGCGUAACGCGUGGGAACCUGCCCUUAGGUUCGGAAUAACUCCCCGAAAGGGGUGCUAAUACCGGAUAAUGUCUUCGGACCAAAGAUUUAUCGCCUUUGGAUGGGCCCGCGUUGGAUUAGCUAGUUGGUAGGGUAAAAGCCUACCAAGGCGACGAUCCAUAGCUGGUCUGAGAGGAUGAUCAGCCACACUGGGACUGAGACACGGCCCAGACUCCUACGGGAGGCAGCAGUGGGGAAUAUUGGACAAUGGGGGAAAGCCUGAUCCAGCAAUGCCGGGUGAGUGAUGAAGGCCGUAGGGUUGUAAAGCGCUUUUACCCGGGAUGAUAAUGACAGUACCGGGAGAAUAAGCUCCGGCUAACUCCGUG